GAUGAACGCUAGCGGCAGGCCUAACACAUGCAAGUCGAGGGGUAACUAGAGUGAUAGCAAUAUUACUUUGGCUAGACCGGCGCACGGGUGCGUAACACGUAUGCAACCUACCUUAUACUGGGGAAUAACUUCGAGAAAUCGGCGCUAAUACCCCAUAACAUUGCGAAGAGGCAUCUCUUUGCAAUUAAAGCUCCGGCGGUAUAAGAUGGGCAUGCGUCCAAUUAGCUAGUUGGUGAGGUAACGGCUCACCAAGGCUACGAUUGGUAGGGGUUCUGAGAGCAUGAUCCCCCACACUGGUACUGAGACACGGACCAGACUCCUACGGGAGGCAGCAGUGAGGAAUAUUGCGCAAUGGACGAAAGUCUGACGCAGCCAUGCCGCGUGCAGGAUGGCGGCCCUAUGGGUUGUAAACUGCUUUUGUACGGGAAUAAACCCUUCUACGUGUAGGAGGCUGAAGGUACCGUAAGAAUAAGCACCGGCUAACUCCGUGCCAGCCGCCGCCGUAACAC
rnacentral:rRNA from 1 species